UUGAAAUUGUUUGAUUAUUUUGAUCUGGAAUUUAAAACCUCUGAAAUAAUUCACAUUUAAAUGAAGGUCUAAAUAUUCGCAAUAUUGUUUCUUCCCAUAUAGAUGACCAACUCAACGUAAUGAAUUAGAUAUUAAAGAGCACUUGCUGGUCUUAUAUUCCCCAGAGGGAAUUUUAUUUAAUGGAAACAUCAAAAGAAUCUUCAUGGGAUAUCUGAAGUGGUUUUCCUGGAAAGUUGACUAAAAAAUACCUUAUUUGUGAUACCCUAAAGAAGCAGGAAAGAUGAUGAUGCAUAUAUUGGCAGAAGAGAGGAGCAACCAGUGGAAAACUUCCUUUCCAAGACUUGUGGUUUCCAUGCUGAAAAUACUGGCUCUCUGUCUAUGCAUUCAGUUUCUUCUCAGAACAUGUGAACCAGCAACAGGCAGGAGAAUAUAUUUGUCACUCCUCAGUUGAACACAGAUACUCUUUGUUUCUUCUUUUCCUUCACCUGAAGCACAGAGACAUUUAAAGUCCAGAGAUUAGUAAUCCUCAUUCAGCUUAUUUGGUUACAGAAAGCCCAAGAUGAAAUACAGGAAGCGGCAGACAAAGAAUAAGUACUCAGGUCUGGUUUACGACAGUAAAGGUGCAGACCAUGUGUUUCUACAAGGAACCUAUUUUGGAAAUCUGGGAAGAUUCCCAUACACUGAAAAUAUUGAUGCAUGUUUCUUAUGGAUGGUAUAUAGGAGAUUGUGCAAUGAGCUCAGUUGAAAUACAUACAGAUUACAGAUACAGAAAUGACUUUGCAGUUAAUGUCAGCCUGAUCGCCAGGGUCUUGUAAUAUGCUUGACAGUUCAUAUACCUGACAACAGUAGCACAACUGACUCAUCAGUCACAACAAUAUUUCUUCUUAUUUAUUCUCCUCUCUCAAGUCUCGAGCACGUACAAAGGACACCAGAUCUUCUACCAAAAUCAGAUGCAUUUUCAAGUACUUUGUAACUGAACCCACAGAUAAUGCACAGUCAGAUUCUCUCUCAUUCUACAACAUGGAUCAAAAAUAAAUAAAAAGAGGGAAGAAAACAUCAUUCUGUGAAAAUUAAGUUCUUUGUAAUUCAGUUUCUCUAUAAUGUUCCUAUCAAAUGUAAGGUACCCAAUAUCACGUUAAAUAAAUUUAAAAUUGUUUAUAAUACA